AUAUUUCUGGACGAGGUGGGCGUGUCGCUAAGCCUACAAAGGAUUGAAAAUUUAACGGGCUGAGGAAGAGAGACCAAAAAUUUCCAUGUGGAUGGGACUACGAGCAGCAGUGGCAAGUGCAUUUACCGAGAUGAAAGCAUUAGGAUGGGGGAACGAGGACGUCACCGAUGGCCGCACCGAAUAUCUGUGCUGAUUCUUUAAAUGUCCCACGCCGUCGUUUUUCCUCUUCUUUUUCUCAGUCCCGUGUCCUCCAAUUCCAUCACCUGCAACUCAAAUUCCCGUCCGGCCUCGAUCGUCGUCGGUCGUCAUCAUCACCGUGAAAUCAGUCAGGCGAACGGACGGCGAGCAUGGAUGACGCGAACGCCGUCGACGUUGCCGGAGUUCCGGCUUCACUCUCGACCUCAUCGACCUCUCGAGCUCCGAUAUCCGACGGUCGGCGUCCCUGCUCAAACAAGUCUUCGAUUCUCCCGCCUUUUUCCGCUAUGUUUAGUUCGAUUUCUGGUACAUGAAACCGAGGAAACCGAGAUUUUUCGAGUCGAGGGGGACGCUGACGGAUGAAUCCAAUCCGUGGGCCUCGGCGUGCUUGGAUUCCGGCUUUUUCUACGUGAUCAAUCAUGGAGUCAGCCAGGACUUGAUGGAGGAGGUGUUCGUCCAGAGCAGGCGGUUCUUUGGUCUGCCUUUGAGCGAGAAAAUGAAGCUGGUGAGGAACGAGAAGCACCGAAGCUACACUCCUCUGUUCGAUCAGGUCCUCGACCCUGCAAAUCAGAUAAACGAAAUACUCGGCGAGCCUUUUGUGACCUUGUGCUUGUUGCACUAUGAAGGUCUAGUCUCAGAUCCCUCUAAAGGAAUAUAUGGAGCUGGGGCACAUUCAGACUUUGGUUUUAGUACCUUGUUGGCAACAGAUGAUGUCCCAGGUCUCCAAAUUUGCAAGAACAAGGAUGCUAAACCUCCAACAUGGAAAUAUGUGCAACCUAUGAAAGGAGCAUUCAUAAUAAAUCUCGGUGAUAUGCUAGAGCGAUGGAGCAAUUGUAUUUUCAGGCAACUCUAUAUUGUUAACCUGUCCAAAACUCCACCAGAAUUUCCUCUGUUGCGCCCUCUUGGCUCUUUCUAAUAUCAGUGGCCCAUUAGUAGCGACGGCAUGCUUGGAUGCCGGCUUUUUCUACGUGAUCAAUCAUGGAGUCAACCAGGACUUGAUGGAGGAGGUGUUCGUCCAGAGCAGGCAGUUCUUUGGUCUGCCUUUGAGAGAGAAAAUGAAGCUGCUGAGGAACGAGAAGCACCGAGGCUACACUCCUCUGUUCGAUCAGGUCCUCCACCCUGCAAAUCAGAUAAAUGGAGAUUAUGAGGAGGGAUACUACUUACGAGUGGAAGUACCAGAGAACGAUCCUCGUGCAUAGUAGCCUCAUUUUGGACCGAACCCCAGGCCUUCUGAGGGUAAACUGCUGUUUAAUGUAAUUUCUGUCCAAAUCAGUUGUUGAUUGUGGAUGUUUAUUUUGGUUUCAUUGUAGUAUUUUUGAGUAGAAAUAUUGCCAAGAUGGAGGCAGGCGAUGGAAAAUUUCGUUGUCAAGCAUCGUGAGUUUUUACUAUAGAUGAUGAUAUAGAGCCAUAGGCAUUAAUUUUUCUUGCUAGUUCCCGGAUGUAAAUUUUAUUCCAUCCAAGUAAAAGAUAAUACAGAGAUCUUCUGUUUCUCUGA